UUGCUUAAGCUUCUCCUUACUAAAGUCAACUGCAGUGCAUCCCUUUUCUUAGCUUAUGGUACGACACUUCGUCACUGUGAUCAGCAGAUUUUUGGUGAUGGCACAAAACUUACGGUAAUGGGGAAGGACAAAGAAAUCCUGCCUCCAGCUGUGGCCAUCUUUUCCCCAUCAAAGCAAGAGAUCCAACAGAAGAACAAGGCCACGCUGGUGUGCCUGGCCUCUGGAUUCUACCCUGACCACCUGAGCCUGGUCUGGAAGAUGAAUGGCGCUGAGAGGACAGAAGGGGUGGGGACAGAUGAGUUUUCCACACGGAAUGAGAGUACCUACUCACUGACCAGCCGGCUGAGGAUCUCGGCCCAGGAAUGGUUCAACCCUUUGAAUCGGUUUGAGUGUGUGGCCAAUUUUUUUAACAACGGAACACAGGAAUCAAUACACAAAUUCAUCUAUGGUGAUGCUGGUUGUGCGCUCACAGAAGAGUCCUACUUGCGGUAUGGAAAUUCCCUGAAGCUCACCUACCUCAUUCUCUGUGGCAAAGCCUUGCUCUAUGCGGUUUUGGUGAGCAGCCUGGUGUGGGCAGCCCAGGCUGGUGGCAAGCUGUGUAGGGAAUAAAUGAAGAGUCCUCUUCAUCACAUCAGCAGGAACACAGCAAGUUACUCUGCCGACCUUUCCAUAGCAAAGGAUCUAUGCUUCUGUCUAAGAACUUCUGAAUAUUAUUUCUUAGUGAUUCUCUGUCCCCAUCCUGCUCUUUCCACUUUAUUGUAACCACUGCUGGGUUUUCCCUGUAUUUCCAGAUCAUAUUGUAUCAUAUCACAUAGAAUCAUAUUUUUAAAACUAACACCUUCUUAAUGCUCGGAGGCUGAGAACCCAGCUCCUUGAAUUGGGAAUAAAGUGUUAGCUUCUUUUACA